UACGUAGGGUGCAAGCGUUAAUCGGAAUUACUGGGCGUAAAGCGUGCGCAGGCGGUUAUGUAAGACAGGUGUGAAAUCCCCGGGCUUAACCUGGGAACUGCAUUUGUGACUGCAUAGCUAGAGUACGGUAGAGGGGGAUGGAAUUCCGCGUGUAGCAGUGAAAUGCGUAGAUAUGACGGAGGAACACCGAUGGCGAAGGCAAUCCCCUGGACCUGUGACU
rnacentral:rRNA from 1 species